rnacentral:lncRNA from 1 species
AUUGUCGAAAACGUUCGCUUUAGAUUGAAGUUUUUGUCUUUUGUCGGCUGCUGGUGGUGCUGGUUAUUGAAUAGUCUUAAUAGUUAAAGACAAGAAAAGCAGUUUAAAUGAAUUAUGGAAUCGCAAGAGUUGAGUCAACUCUUAAGGCAGUAUCAGAAAACUCUGAAGAAGCAUAUAAGAGCACAUGAAACUUUAGCAUUCUUAAAAGAAUGCAGAAUCAACGGGGUAUAUCCACGAACUAUAGCUAAUAUCAGUUUACCAAUUAACUCCAAGAAAGUGUUAGAGAAUACAAAAAGAAUUUGUUUGAAAACAGCAAUAACCAAUGCAAGUAGGAG